UGCGAUUAGCUAACAGAGAUGCUAGAAAGUUGGUCUUUUGAUAUGAGAAUCCAAUGUGCUCAUUAGAUGUCUGAGAUAUGUCUGUUUUGUUUCUGAUGUCCAGUAAUCACCACCCAUCAUUAAAUAGGUAGGUAGUUGUGCCAUGAUCAUCAUUGGCAUGUUGCAAAAGGAUUGAGCAUGCUGUUUGCAGGAGCAAGAAUAAAUUUACUCGUUUAAUGCAACCAAAUAGCCAUGUGCUUGUACGUUCUCAUUCAUGCUCAUGCAUGCUUGUUUGUGCACGUGGCUGAAUGUGCGAGACACACCAAGCUUUUUAACUUUGUUACUGAUCCAUUUCACCUGUUUUCUUCAUUUUACAUCGGUCCUUACAAUUUAUAUGCUUUAUCUGCUUGCUAAAACAGCAUUAAUCAGAUUUAUAAUGUAUUCUGUUUGGUCCUGUUUGUAAUAUUGUGAAUUUUAUUUUCUCGUAAUUGUUCAUGAUCAUCUUUUGGUUGUGUAGAUACUUCUGAAUCCGCUCUACUUGUCUGGAUCUCGCAUCACAUCCUCUCACUUUGAUACCAAAGUUAGAGCUCUUGCAAGAAAAUAUCUGUAGUGGCAGGCAUCCUCCAUCGAGGACAAUGGAAGGGUUGGCACAGUCAAUCUGCUG
rnacentral:lncRNA from 1 species